rnacentral:miRNA from 1 species
GUGUGUGUAUAUAAUGCAGUGUGUUUGUGUAGUGUGCAUUAUAUAAACACACUACACAAACACACUGCUUUUUAUACACACAC